AUGAAGCUCCUAUGUUGGAACAUUAGGGGCUUAGGCCUCACUGGCCGGCGUCGGCAGCUCAUCGAGUAUUUACGGCAAGAAGAGAUUGACGUUGUGGGACUUCAGGAGAUGAUUCGCCAGGACUUUAGCAUGCAUGAGCUCCAGGGGCUCAUGCACCACCAGUUUGCCUGGCAGUGGCUGCCUGCUACAUGACAAUCUGGCGGCAUCCCGCUCGGAGUCAGGGAGGAUGAUUUCUCAGUUGAGGAUAUGGACUGA
rnacentral:rRNA from 1 species